UGAACGCUGGCGGCAGGCCUCACACAUGCAAGUCGAACGGUAACAGGAAGAAGCUUGCUUCUUUGCUGACGAGUGGCGGACGGGUGAGUAAUGUCUGGGAAACUGCCUGAUGGAGGGGGAUAACUACUGGAAACGGUAGCUAAUACCGCAUAACGUCGCAAGACCAAAGAGGGGGACCUUCGGGCCUCUUGCCAUCGGAUGUGCCCAGAUGGGAUUAGCUAGUAGGUGGGGUAACGGCUCACCUAGGCGACGAUCCCUAGCUGGUCUGAGAGGAUGACCAGCCACACUGGAACUGAGACACGGUCCAGACUCCUACGGGAGGCAGCAGUGGGGAAUAUUGCACAAUGGGCGCAAGCCUGAUGCAGCCAUGCCGCGUGUAUGAAGAAGGCCUUCGGGUUGUAAAGUACUUUCAGCGGGGAGGAAGGGAGUAAAGUUAAUACCUUUGCUCAUUGACGUUACCCGCAGAAGAAGCACCGGCUAACUCCGUG
rnacentral:rRNA from 1 species